CCGCCUACCUCAUCACCAUGUGCGGACACAGCCAGAGGUGCCAUUACAGACCAAGAAACAGGCCCUCACCAGACCCUGAAUCUGUCCAUGCCUCGAUCUUGGACUUCAAACCUCCGGAACUGGAAUAGAUUUCUGUUAUUUAUAAGCCACCCUGUCUACGGCAUUUUGCUGUAGCAGCCUAAAGGGAAUAAGAUAUCGAAUACAUGAUUAAAUUAAUCCUGGUAUGAGACGCAUGGCUGAAGAAUAACUGAAUUCCUAGCCAUUUCAAAGACAUAUCUUCCAAUCCUGACAUGACACAGCAUUUUUAUUAGGCUUAAUGUUCCAGGCCAGGCACGGUGGCUCAUGCCUGUAAUCCCAGCACUUCAGGAAGCCGAGGUGAGUAGAUAACCUGAGGUCAGGAGGUCGAGACCAGCCUGGCCAACAAAGUGAAAUCCCAUCUCUACUAAAAAUUAGCCGGGUGUGGU
rnacentral:lncRNA from 10 species